CCAAUAGCGUAUAUCAAAGUUGUUGCAGUUAAAAAGCUCGUAGUUGAAUUUCGGGAUCAAUAUGUCGGUCGUGCUUUCUGGUACGUAUUGGCGUCAUUGGUUUCUCCUUUCUGACGAGCCAUGAUGUCAUUAAUUUGGUGUUAUGGGGAGUUAGGACUGUUACUUUGAAAAAAUUAGAGUGUUUAAAGCAGGCAUUAGCUUGAAUACACUAGCAUGGAAUAAUCAAAUAGGACGUUCGAUCCUAUUUUGUUGGUUUCUAGGAUCAACGUAAUGAUUAAUAGGGAUAGUUGGGGGCAUUAGUAUUCAAUUGUCAGAGGUGAAAUUCUUGGAUUUAUUGAAGACUAACUACUGCGAAAGCAUUUGCCAAGGAUGUUUUCAUUAAUCAAGAACGAAAGUUAGGGGAUCGAAGACGAUCAGAUACCGUCGUAGUCUUAACCAUAAACUAUGCCAACUAGGGAUCGGAUGAUGUUAAUUUUUUUUUAAUGACUCAUUCGGCGCCUUACG
rnacentral:rRNA from 1 species